CUGUCGAAAAACCAUGGAACAAAAAAAAUUAAAAACGGAGGUGAGGAGGGACUAUGAAGAGGUAAAACAGCACAAAUGAGGGGAGAGAUAACGGCAGUUCCGGCUUGGCUGUGGGACAGUGGACCAGCCCUUAGGGGCAGAGGGCUUGUGGCGAGUGCUGCAGGAAUGACAGGACAUCAGGGAACAGCUCAGGCAGGAAGGGCAACUGUGAUGGAGUUUUGCAGGCGCCGAGGACGUUUGUGGUGGUGAAGUCGUCGGGCGAAGCUCAUGGUCCCCAG